rnacentral:ncRNA from 2 species
GACAUUCGCUAGGGGUCCUGGGAGUUACUUUCCGGGUGAGAGAUACCCUCCGUACCUGAUCUGGAUAAUGCCAGCGAAGGAAAGCGCAAAGUAGUUCCC